rnacentral:rRNA from 1 species
UACAGAGGGUGCAAGCGUUGUUCGGAAUUAUUGGGCCUAAAGCAUCCGUAGCCGGUUCUGCAAGUCUUCCGUUAAAUCCACCUGCUUAACAGAUGGGCCGCGGAAGAUACUAUAGAGCUAGGAGGCGGGAGAGGCAAGCGGUACUCGAUGGGUAGGGGUAAAAUCCGUUGAUCCAUUGAAGACCACCAGUGGCGAAGGCGGCUUGCCAGAACGCGCUCGACGGUGAGGGAUGAAAGCUGGGGGAGCAAACCGG